rnacentral:rRNA from 1 species
AUACGGAGGGUGCAAGCGUUACUCGGAAUCACUGGGCGUAAAGCGCGCGCAGGCGGCUAUUUAAGUUGGAUGUGAAAGCCUACGGCUCAACCGUAGAACUGCAUCCAAGACUAUUUAGCUAGAGUGUGGGAGAGGAAGAUGGAAUUAGUUGUGUAGGGGUAAAAUCCGUAGAGAUAACUAGGAAUACCAAAAGCGAAGGCAAUCUUCUGGAACACUACUGACGCUGAGGCGCGAAAGCGUGGGGAGCAAACAGGAUUAGAAACCCUAGUAGUCC